rnacentral:rRNA from 1 species
UACGGGGGGAGCAAGCGUUGUUCGGAUUUACUGGGCGUAAAGGGCGCGUAGGCGGCGUGACAAGUCACUUGUGAAAUCUCCGGGCUUAACUCGGAACGGUCAAGUGAUACUGUCGUGCUAGAGUACAGAAGGGGCAACUGGAAUUCUCGGUGUAGCGGUGAAAUGCGUAGAUAUCGAGAGGAACACCUGCGGCGAAGGCGGGUUGCUGGGCUGAUACUGACGCUGAGACGCGAAAGCGUGGGGAGCAAACAGG